GUUUUCAUGGAGUAGUGGCUUAACUCAUCGCUCUCACACAGCGAAGAUCGCCGGUUCGAACCCGGCUGAAAACA
rnacentral:tRNA from 1 species